rnacentral:rRNA from 1 species
UGGGGAAUAUUGCACAAUGGGCGCAAGCCUGAUGCAGCCAUGCCGCGUGUAUGAAGAAGGCCUUCGGGUUGUAAAGUACUUUCAGCGGGGAGGAAGGGAGUAAAGUUAAUACCUUUGCUCAUUGACGUUACCCGCAGAAGAAGCACCGGCUAACUCCGUGCCAGCAGCCGCGGUAAUACGGAGGGUGCAAGCGUUAAUCGGAAUUACUGGGCGUAAAGCGCACGCAGGCGGUUUGUUAAGUCAGAUGUGAAAUCCCCGGACUCAACCUGGGAACUGCAUCUGAUACUGGCAAGCUUGAGUCUCGUAGAGGGGGGUAGAAUUCCAGGUGUAGCGGUGAAAUGCGUAGAGAUCUGGAGGAAUACCGGUGGCGAAGGCGGCCCCCUGGACGAAGACUGACGCUCAGGUGCGAAAGCGUGGGGAGCAAACAGG